rnacentral:rRNA from 1 species
GAUGAACGCUGGCGGCGUGCCUAAUACAUGCAAGUCGAGCGAACAGACGAGGAGCUUGCUCCUCUGACGUUAGCGGCGGACGGGUGAGUAACACGUGGAUAACCUACCUAUAAGACUGGGAUAACUUCGGGAAACCGGAGCUAAUACCGGAUAAUAUAUUGAACCGCAUGGUUCAAUAGUGAAAGACGGUUUUGCUGUCACUUAUAGAUGGAUCCGCGCCGCAUUAGCUAGUUGGUAAGGUAACGGCUUACCAAGGCAACGAUGCGUAGCCGACCUGAGAGGGUGAUCGGCCACACUGGAACUGAGACACGGUCCAGACUCCUACGGGAGGCAGCAGUAGGGAAUCUUCCGAAAGGGGCGAAAGCCUGACGGAGCAACGCCGCGGGAGUGAUGAAGGUCUUCGGAUCGUAAAACUCUGUUAUUAGGGAAGAACAAAUGUGUAAGUAACGAUGCACGUCUUGACGGUACCUAAUCAGAAAGCCACGGCUAACUACGU